rnacentral:rRNA from 1 species
UACGAAGGGGGCUAGCGUUGCUCGGAAUCACUGGGCAUAAAGGGCGCGUAGGCGGCUUCAUAAGUCAGGGGUGAAAUCCGGCAGCUUAACUGUCGCAGUGCCUUUGAUACUGUGGAGCUCGAGGGAGGUAGGGGUCUGUGGAACUUCCGGUGGAGCGGUGAAAUGCGUUGAUAUCGGAAGGAACUCCGGUGGCGAAGGCGGCGUGCUGGAUCCCUUCUGACGCUGAGGCGCGAAAGCCAGGGGAGCAAACGGG